rnacentral:rRNA from 1 species
AAGCGUUGUUCGGAAUUAUUGGGCGUAAAGGGCGUGUAGGCGGUCUGUUAAGUCUGAUGUGAAAGCCCCGGGCUCAACCUGGGAAGUGCAUUGGAAACUGGCAGACUUGAGUACGGGAGAGGGUAGUGGAAUUCCSAGUGUAGGRGUGAAAUCCGUAGAUAUUGGGAGGAACACCGGUGGCGAAGGCGGCUGCCUGGACCGAUACUGACGCUGAGACGCGAAAGCGUGGGGAGCAAACAGGAUUAGAUACCCUGGUAGUCCACGCCGUAAACGAUGAGUACUAGGUGUUGCGGGUAUUGACCCCUGCAGUGCC